AUUGAACGCUGGCGGCAGGCUUAACACAUGCAAGUCGAGCGGAGAUGAGGUGCUUGCACCUUAUCUUAGCGGCGGACGGGUGAGUAAUGCUUAGGAAUCUGCCUAUUAGUGGGGGACAACAUUCCGAAAGGAAUGCUAAUACCGCAUACGCCCUACGGGGGAAAGCAGGGGAUCUUCGGACCUUGCGCUAAUAGAUGAGCCUAAGUCGGAUUAGCUAGUUGGUGGGGUAAAGGCCUACCAAGGCGACGAUCUGUAGCGGGUCUGAGAGGAUGAUCCGCCACACUGGGACUGCGACAUGGCCCAGACUCCUACGGGAGGAAGCAGUGGGGAAUAUUGGACAAUGGGCGGAAGCCUGAUCCAGCCAUGCCGCGUGUGUGAAGAAGGCCUUUUGGUUGUAAAGCACUUUAAGCGAGGAGGAGGCUACCUGGAUUAAUACUCUAGGAUAGUGGACGUUACUCGCAGAAUAAGCACCGGCUAACUCUGUGCCAGCCGCCGCCGUAAAAC
rnacentral:rRNA from 1 species